UCCCUGGAGGACUAGUGGCUAGGCCACAGCGCUCUCACUGCUGCGGCCUGGGUUCGAUACCUGGCCAGGGAA
rnacentral:tRNA from 1 species